AUGCAAGCGUUAUUCGGAAUUAUUGGGCGUAAAGCGUCUGUAGGUGGCGAGGAAAGUGUUGUGUUAAAGAUCAAGGCUUAACCUUGAAAAAGCAUUGCAAACUAUCUCGCUUGAGUUCGGUAGGGGCAGAGAGAAUUCCCAGUGUAGCGGUGAAAUGCGUAGAUAUUGGGAGGAAGACCAGUGGCGAAGGCGUUCUGCUGGGCCGUAACUGACACUCAGAGACGAAAGCUAAGGGAGCAAAUAGGAUUAGAUACCCUAGUAGUCUUAGCUGUAAACGAUGCACACUAUGUUUUGCAAUUUGCAGAGCAAAAGUUAACGCGUUAAGUGUGCCGCCUGGGGAGUACAUUCGCAAGGAUGAAACUCAAAGGAAUUGACGGGGACCCGCACAAGCGGUGGAGCAUGUGGUUUAAUUCGAUGCUACGCGAAGAACCUUACCAAGAAUUGACAUGCUGCGAACGUUUAUGAAAGUAAAAAGUCUAUUAACUUAGUUAAUAGCGCAGACACAGGUGGUGCAUGGUUGUCGUCAGCUCGUGCCGUGAGGUGUUGGGUUAAGUCCCGCAACGAGCGCAACCCUUGUCUUUAGUUAUAUUCUAGAGAGACUGCCGGUGAUAAACCGGAGGAAGGUGAGGAUGACGUCAAAUCAGCAUGCCCCUUACAUCUUGGGCGACUCACGUGCUACAAUGGUCGAGACAAAGAGAUGCUACCCUGCGAAGGCAAGCUAACCUCAGAAACUCGAUCUG
rnacentral:rRNA from 1 species